rnacentral:rRNA from 1 species
UUAAAUUGAAGAGUUUGAUCAUGGCUCAGAUUGAACGCUGGCGGCAGGCCUAACACAUGCAAGUCGAACGGUAACAGGAAGCAGCUUGCUGCUUCGCUGACGAGUGGCGGACGGGUGAGUAAUGUCUGGGAAACUGCCUGAUGGAGGGGGAUAACUACUGGAAACGGUAGCUAAUACCGCAUAAUGUCGCAAGACCAAAGAGGGGGACCUUCGGGCCUCUUGCCAUCGGAUGUGCCCAGAUGGGAUUAGCUUGUUGGUGGGGUAACGGCUCACCAAGGCGACGAUCCCUAGCUGGUCUGAGAGGAUGACCAGCCACACUGGAACUGAGACACGGUCCAGACUCCUACGGGAGGCAGCAGUGGGGAAUAUUGCACAAUGGGCGCAAGCCUGAUGCAGCCAUGC